AAGUGCUUUGUGUGGUGCUUUGAUUAUGAAAAAGAGGAGAAACCUUAAAGCUUUGCUCCGAUGACAGCAGCGGACUGUUAACAUCCUAUUAAGAUAUAAGGAUUUAGGAAGAUAUGUAAACCCUCACUGUAUCUUCUCAAAAGCAGAGUAAUUAACACUGCGAGACACAGGAGAGAAGAAUAGUAGCCGUAGGAAGAGUUCAUUCUCUUUCUGAUAUAGCUCCCCAGGUGAUCCCACCAUGACCACAAUUGAGAAACACUGGUUUGUAACAUCAGUGGUCCUCGGCAACGAUCUCGCAGAAAGCUUCUUUUGAUGACCAUGACUAAUAUAUUCACAACAUCUGCAAUAUUCUCUCCAGUUGAUAUUACGAACCAUAUGGCAGAUUUAACGCAGUGCCUGCAAGUUGUCUGAAUCCUCCUGUGGAAAAGCGGUUUUGCACACACCUCCUUACGUAUCAUCCUCGGUCUUAUUUCCUUUCCCAGAUAACAGAUCUGUGAGGCUAAAUGAAGCUGGGAGCUAUCACUGCUGUCCUGAACUAGUGACACUGGACUCCUCCCUAGGGAACCAGCUGCAUCUAUUUAAAACACACUUUUAGGUGAAUAUGUGGGACAUCUUUGCUAAAUAGAAGGGCUUUUAGUAGAAUGCAAUCGUGUCUUAACAAUAGAAUAUUGGCUUGAAUGUACAGGACAAAUAGAGGUUUGUGCAGCAUUGUAAAUGAGAGUCUGGAUGACCUAACGCGGAGAUACAGUAACAUUCUUUUCUUCAGCAUCUUACUGUUGUCAGACUAAUAGUAUCCAGGGGGAGAGAACAACUGCGAUAGAGGCUCUAUUUUCCUUCCUUGGUCAUGACUGCUUGUGACCUUGACUAUGUAUAUAUGGGGACACAGCUAUGAAUCUCAUUCUAAAAUAAAUUUCCCUUUAUUAAAUUUUUUGAA